GUCUUUUGAGUCUUUCUUUGUUAAAAGAUAGAUGGUCACAAGGCAACAAUUCUAUUUAAAAAAUAAUAAAAGAAUGAGAAGCCCCUUGUCGAUGAUUGUGGCCUUUUCGAGUUUAUGGUUCCUAUCGGUAACAGCAACGCCCGUCCCAAAAAAUUUUGACAAUGAUUUUCACAUACAGUCCAGCACAAAUUUUAUAACUGGAAUGCCAUUGACUGAAGAAAUGAAAGGAAAUUUUAGCGAAAUAGGAAAAGCAUUGAUUAUACAGUCUUUCCCAUGGGAUAAACAAGAUCCUACACUGUACGAAGGUGACAUUAAGCAUUUUGGGGACAAAAAUGCUAUCUUGAGCAAUAGCUAUCGCUGGCCGAAUGCAAAGAUCCCAUAUGAAAUUUCAAAUGCCUACACUCCCGAUCAGCGAACAGUUAUCGCUUUUGCUAUGAACGAAUACCACAAAUAUACGUGCAUCCAGUUAGUUCCUCGAACUAGUGAAACAAAUUAUAUAAGAAUUCUUAAAAGUGGAACUGGAUGUAAUAGCUGGAUUGGUAUGAUCAAUAGAGGCGCUCAAGAUUUAAGUCUCGAUGAUGGAUGCGUCUCAAGAAAUUAUCCAGGCAUCGUCCUCCACGAACUGAUGCACGCUGCUGGAUUCUUCCAUGAACACACUCGCCCAGAUCGUGACUCGUUCGUGAGAAUAGAUUUUAACAAUAUUAUUUUAAAACAUCGAUUUAACUUCAACAAAACCACUGCUUCGGAAGUGACUACUCUUGGUCUCCCCUAUGAUUACGAUAACCUGGUUCUCUCCUAAACGUGGUAUAGUGGCCGCAAAGGUUAUAUUGUAUUUUGGGUAUUAUACUCCCUCGGAAAUACACAAUAGUAAUGGAUUUCUAUCGAAAAAUCUGUAUUAAACAAAAGUUUUGCGAAAAUUCAACAAAUAAAUGAUUCUGUAAUGCAUUACGGAAAGAAUGCUUUUGCAAUUGACACAACCAGACCAACAAUUAUUCCUAUCCCUAAUGAAAACAUAAACCUAGGG